rnacentral:rRNA from 1 species
UACGGAGGGUGCAAGCGUUAUCCGGAUUCACUGGGUUUAAAGGGUGCGUAGGUGGGCUGGUAAGUCCGUGGUGAAAUCUCCAGGCUUAACUUGGAAACUGCCAUUGAUACUAUCAAUCUUGAAUACCGUGGAGAUGAGCGGAAUAUGUCAUGUAGCGGUGAAAUGCUUAGAUAUGACAUAGAACACCAAUUGCGAAGGCAGCUCGUUACACGAAUAUUGACACUGAUGCACGAAAGCGUGGGGAUCAAACAGG